UACGGAGGGUGCGAGCGUUGUCCGGAAUCACUGGGCGUAAAGGGCGCGUAGGCGGCGCGGGCAGUCAACGGUGAAAGCUUGGGGCUCAACCCCGAGUCGGCCGUCGAUACUCCCGUGCUUGAGCACUGUAGAGGCAGGUGGAAUUCCGGGUGUAGCGGUGGAAUGCGUAGAGAUCCGGAGGAAGACCGGUGGCGAAGGCGGCCUGCUGGGCAGUUACUGACACUGAGGCGCGACAGCGUGGGGAGCAAACAGG
rnacentral:rRNA from 1 species